rnacentral:tRNA from 1 species
GCGCUCGUGGCUCAAUUGGAUAGAGCAACAGGCUACGAACCUGUAGGUUGGGAGUUCGAGUCUCUCCGGGCGCACCA